rnacentral:rRNA from 1 species
UACAUAGGUCUCAAGCGUUGUUCGGAUUCAUUGGGCGUAAAGGGUGUGUAGGUGGCGCCGUAAGUCGGGUGUGAAAUUUCGGAGCUUAACUCCGAAACUGCAUUCGAUACUGCGGUGCUUGAGGACUGGAGAGGAGACUGGAAUUCAUGGUGUAGCAGUGAAAUGCGUAGAGAUCAUGAGGAAGACCAGUGGCGAAGGCGGGUCUCUGGACAGUUCCUGACGCUGAAGCACGAAGGCCAGGGGAGCAAACGGG